rnacentral:rRNA from 1 species
GGGGAAUAUUGGACAAUGGGCGCAAGCCUGAUCCAGCCAUGCCGCGUGAGUGAUGAAGGUCUUAGGAUUGUAAAGCUCUUUCACCGAUGAAGAUAAUGACGGUAGUCGGAGAAGAAGCCCCGGCUAACUUCGUGCCAGCAGCCGCGGUAAUACGAAGGGGGCUAGCGUUGUUCGGAAUUACUGGGCGUAAAGCGCACGUAGGCGGAUAUUUAAGUCAGGGGUGAAAUCCCGCAGCUCAACUGCGGAACUGCCUUUGAUACUGGGUAUCUUGAGUAUGGAAGAGGUGAGUGGAAUUCCGAGUGUAGAGGUGAAAUUCGUAGAUAUUCGGAGGAACACCAGUGGCGAAGGCGGCUCACUGGUCCAUUACUGACGCUGAGGUGCGAAAGCGUGGGGAGCAAAC